CAGUAGCCGCGGUAAAACAGAGGGUGCGAGCGUUAAUCGGAUUUACUGGGCGUAAAGCGUGCGUAGGCGGCUUCUUAAGUCGGAUGUGAAAUCCCUGAGCUUAACUUAGGAAUUGCAUUCGAUACUGGGAAGCUAGAGUAUGGGAGAGGAUGGUAGAAUUCCAGGUGUAGCGGUGAAAUGCGUAGAGAUCUGGAGGAAUACCGAUGGCGAAGGCAGCCAUCUGGCCUAAUACUGACGCUGAGGUACGAAAGCAUGGGGAGCAAACAGGAUUAGAUACCCGGGUAGUCCCUGUCUCUUAUAA
rnacentral:rRNA from 1 species